rnacentral:lncRNA from 1 species
UGAAGAAAACUAUGAUUGGUGUAUAUAACAACAACAAAAAUAUCUAAAUAUAAUUUUACAAGUGAUAUUUGAAUAGAGACAUUCAUUCUUUCAAUGAAGUUAUAGGUGAAAUUAGUUUGUAUGAGAAGACAUAACUGUAAAUCUGAUGAUACCUUAGUGAUUUGUCUUUAUUGUAUGAAUGUAAUUGAGAAGAUGUACUCAUCAGUGGCUGUGCUAUUGAGAAAGUUUAUACUUGGGAGGCCUAUGCUUUAGUUAUUAUCUAUGUACCCCAUGUUUUUUCUUUUUGACAAAUAUGAUGGCUGGGGCUGGUAUGUAUCUCGAUUAAUUUCAUGAAAUACGUGCCAUCUCCUGCGAAUACAUCUACCUUCAAUUUUCAUCGCACAACCACCACAAUUCACCUGCAUUGCCAGUUACCUCUAAUCAUUAUUCAUUACAAACAUCACCAAUCACCUUUACCAGAAUCAAUUUAGAUAGUCCUUGGUGGUUACGGUGGCGACUACAUCAACGUAUUAUUGCUUCAAGAGAAACUCCCAUCAAAGUUCACUAUGAUUCUUUAGGUACUUGUUAUGAGAAUUAAGUAUGAACAAGGUUUGGUUUUGGGUAAUUGUCUAGGUUUUGUGACUUCAAAAAAAGUUGUGGGUGGCAUUUUUGGGUGAAGAUUAUUGCUAAGUGAUGAGUUGGGAUCUAUAAAGAGAAGAAGUACUAUGGGGGGUUGCUAUGGAAAAUAAGGAUAUCAAGAAAUAAACUAAGAAAAUGGAAGAAGUCAGCCAUUGAUGAUGAGCUUUGACUAUCAUCAGCUGACUAAUAUACUGUAGAUUUUGAGUAAAGAACAAAUUAUUAUGACAAUGAAGUCAUUUUCUGGUUUCAAACAUUCAGCUGUAGUAAAAGAAGGAUUUUAGAAGUUUCUUAGCUUAUUGAAGUGUAAUUUAUGAUAUUUUAUGCAUCAGGUUAUUGACUACAAGUUUCACUAUCUCUUGCAUAUACCAUUAUUUUGAAAAUCGAAAGGAAAAGUCAGAAAGCAGAACUAAGACUCACAUUGAUGUGGCGGUCAUUUCAAAUUAAAUGGUAACAAAGGAAUUGUUACAUCCCUAAACUUUCCAAGCUAAGGCCUAAACCAUUCUUCAUUAUGCAAAAAUGUCAUAUCGAGUGAUUCUUAGGUGAUUAGUUGAAUUAUUUAGUUUGUGAAUGAAUUUUGAUAUGAAUUAAGAUCACUAGAAUCCCCUAACACAAAGUUGAGUGGAAAGUUUCCUUAUCGAGUAAGUUUUGAUGUAAGAUUCUACUUAGAUCAACUUUAAAUGAUCAUAUCUCUCAGCAUAUAAUGAAUUAAAUGGUUCAUGACCUAUCAAAUUAAAGGUUUAUGAGUAGUCUUUUCAACGCCAUCAAGUUUGUCUCAUUUUGAAUUUGAAGUAAAAAGUUAUGGCCGCCUUACCAGAGACUGCCACAACAAAGUUUUCUGAAGCGGUGAACUAUGAAACCCUUCUACGGGUCGUUAUACUGUCAAGUCGUGGAAGAACUUCAGAGAGUCAAAUUUGGGGGUCCAAUUCCUACAGACCCAUCUACGGGUUGUAGAACCUUCCACGGGCCGUAGUUUGGACCCGUAGAAUGAGCUUUUGAGCCUUAAAAUUCAAUAUAAAUUCUAUGGAUGGGAUCUAUGGUCCAUAGAAACUUCUGUGAGUCGUAGUUUGGAUCUGUAGGAUAAAAUUUAAUAUAAAUUCCACUGAUGGUAGCUACGGUCCGUAAUCCUCAUUCUCAGCUCCUGACCAUAAGCCUAUGCGCCUGCCUCAUGUUCGAUAUAGUAAUCGAAUGCUAUGCUGAACAAGAUCCACACAAUCCUUAAACCUCAUACUCCACCUUUUCUUACCAAUCUCACUACACACAAGACAAAUAAAUUCCCCACCACUCUCACUGUUCUCCGCAUAAUACUCUCUCAAUCCACUAUCUCUCUCAAACAAACAACUUCGUGAAAAAGUUUAAAAUUUUCUCACCAUUUUCCACUUCCAUAACAUCAUCAUCCUAUUCUCAUACAUAUCCUCCUCCUCAUCAUCAAUAGAGUACUUCAAAUACUCUGAUACCGCCUUCAACGUCUGUUCCUGAGCCCGCUUCCUAGUAACACUAGCCAAUUCUUCAGCAGGUGGCAAAUGGGGAUGCGAAUUAGGGUGUGCAGUGAAACUGGGCCAGUCAAAUUUCGUGAUCGAAGCCGAUUCAGCAGGAGUUGGACAAAUCCAUUCAACAUCAAAAUCUAUUAUAGCUUCCUUCAACCUUUUCGAUUUUUGCUUAUUUCGUUUCUAGAACUGAGUAGAAUCGGAGGGUUGUAGACUCAAUGGGGUUUGGGGAUGGAGAUUGGCGUGGACAUGGAGUGGAGUUGGUGGGGGGGACCUUGAUGCCAUAAAGAGUGGAGGUAGCGAACUUCUUAUAUUAGUCUCUGCUCAUCAUAACGAUUCAUUGGAAAACGUGACAUUUUUGAACUAUUUGAGCAAAAGGGUUUUCGUUUGAUACUGUAAAAAUAUCGGAGAAUCGUCGAAAACUGAAGGGUUUGGAGCAAAAUCUCCAAUUUCAAUGAAAAAAUAGGUUCUUCAAAGCAUAAAUCGAGAACUGAAAAGGAGGAUUUUGGGUUGGUGGUAAUUAAAUAAACAAAGAGUGGUUAAGAAAGAAAAAAAGGAAAACAAUUUAGGUCCAAGCUUGACUUUUUUUUUUGGUUUCCACCUGUUGUUCGGAGAGCCCCAACUAAAUUCGAAUCUGUCCAAAUUUAUUCGGCUCUAAUGCGGACUCCGAACAAUGGGUGUAAACCAAGAAAAUUUAAAUAAAAAUAUAUAUAAUAUUUUUUUCAAAGAAAAAAGAUUAAAAGAAAUAUUAAGGCCUGCUUUAAGGUUUGACUUUAGCCCCUAAUAUGUAAUUAUAUGUAUGUCAAAAUUACUAUUUCAUUAAUUAUAAGACGACUAAGGAUAAUAUAUUAACCAAUAGAUAUUUUAAAUAAAAUUUAGCCCAAAUUUUGUUUAAAGUUGAAACCAUAUAAAUACAAUUGAAAUUGAAGGAAUAUUCAAUAUUUUUGAAAAAUCGAAUCUGGAAAACAGAGCAGCCCGAAAUCCUUCUCAGUUCCCGUCAAGAAACCAUUUUUCUUCACCGGAAUCGAGAUUUCGCUCCAAACCCUUCAUUUUCCGGCAAUUCCCUGGCAUUUUUACAGUAGCUACCCAAAGCUCUUCUGCUCAAGUUGUAAAAAAUGUCACGUUUUCCAAUGAAUCCUUACGAUGAGCAGAGAUUAAUAGAAGAAGUUCGAUACCUCCAUUCUUUAUGGCAUCAAGGUCCCCCUCACCCCCAUGUCCACCCCAAUCUCCACCCCCAAACCCCAGUGAGUCUACAACCCUCCGGUUCUACUCAGUUUAAGAAACAAAAUAAGCAGAAAUCCAAAAGGCUGAAGGAAGCUUUAAUAGAUUCUGGUGUUGGAUGGGUUUUUCCAAUUCCUGCUGAAUCAUCUCCAGUCACUGAUUCCGGCUGGCCCAGUUUCACUGCACAACCAAGUUUGCAACCCCAGUUGCCCACUGCUGAAGAAUUGGCUAGUGUUGCUGGGAACCGGGCUCAGCAACAGGGGUUGAAGGCGGUAUCGGAGUAUUUGAAGUACUCAGUUGAUGAUGAUGAGGAGGAGAUGUAUGAUGAUGAUGAUGAUAUGGAAGUGGAAAAGGAGGAGAAAAAAAUGAACUUUUUCGCCAAGUUGUUUGAGGAGGAUGGUGGGUUGAGAGAGUAUUAUGAGAAGAACAAUGAGAGCGGUGGGGAAUUUAUUUGUCUUGUGUGUAGUGGGGUUGGUAAGAAAGGGUGGAGUAAGAGGUUUAAGGAUUGUGUGGGUCUUGUUCAGCAUUCGAUUACUAUAUCGAACAUGAGGCAGGCACAUAGGGCUUAUGGUCAGGUCAUUUGUCGAAUUCUUGGAUGGGAUAUUAAUAGGCUUCCAUCCAUUGUUUUGUCUGCAGGUGGUAAGCCUAGUGAAUCUUCUGAUAAACCGGUGGAGGCUCAGGUAAUUUACUGUUAUUUCAUUGGAUUUAUCAAGGCAUUGUCGUUAUUGUUAAGUUUGUGUUAUGUAUUAUAGAGAUUAGUAUGAAAUGUGCCCCGAAAGAGUGGAACAGAUAGAGAAUUUAUAUUGUUGAUCUAGUUUGUUUGGGCAACUGAUUGAUUGCUUGUUUUGUCCAUCGAGAAUGAUGGAAAUUUUAAGAAAAAUACUUCAUCAUGAACACUGAUAUAGGGAAUUCUCAUAGCUUGAGGCGUGUCAAAAGACUGUCCUUGGGUGUAUAUAAAAUUAGGAGCACAGAAAUUGACAAGGACUCAAUUUGUGAAAAACCCAACACAAUCUACUAUAAGAAGAAGAAUUUUUCUUUUAAUAUAUUACCAAUAAGGGUUACCUCUCAUGUGUGGUUUGUGAGCUAUUGCAUAGGAACAAAGUUUCUACUCAAUGGGCACACAAAAGGUAGCGGCUGUGGUUUCCCCUGUCAUAAAAUAAAAUAAAAAUAUUACCAAUAAGAAAAAAGGCUCCAAUGGUCACAAAAUUACUCAUAAUCAGAAACCCAUUAGCCAGAAAGCCUUGUCUAUUAGACUUAAUGCCAAUAAAUUGGCUUCAAUGGUAAUAUCAUAUUAAUGACAAUAAUCAUAGAGGAAAACCAUGAAGGCAUAAGCUCAACCAUUCUAGUUUGCAUUGGUUUAGCCAAGCAAAGAAAAAUACUGUCUGUUCAAGUAUUGCUGUCCCAUAAAUUGUAUGUCUUGAUUUUUUGAAAAUAUGCAAAUACCAAGAAUCAAACAGGAAGUUGAGAGAGAAUAGGGGAAAGCCCUAGGAAGUACAUGAGAUAGAACCAGAAUAUAUUUCAUGAAAUGAAGAGACAAAAAGAAUUCUGUCUAUUCUAGAAAAGUCAACUGUUUGUAUUCACACCAAGUAAUCAUAAACGGAAAUAGUAUUCUGUUCGACUAGGGUCUAUCUUCAGAUAUUAGGCUCCGAACUUCAGACUUCAAGUUUGGCCAAUUCGAAUGAUGGAUCCAAUAAAACAUUGCAGGGGAAUGAGGAUGCUGGUGGUAAAGAUUGUUUGAGUGGUCUAAGCAAUACAACAGAUGCUGUAAAUGUUGGCACUGAUGAAUUAUCUCAGCAAAAACAGUCUUUUAGUAAUGAAAACCAACAAGAAAAUGGUGGUGGCUCCACAGCAUUAGAGGUUAGUUUUAUGCAGUUUCUAUAUGCUUGGUCUUAUAAAGUAUUGGAUAAGAUUAUGUCAGUGGUAGCUGACUUGUAUUCUUUCUUUAGCACAACUCCGUAAUUGAAGCCAAUGUCAGCAAUGAGAUUCCUGAAACAGCAAAAGAGAACACAGAGGGUGCAUCCAAUUGUCCGGUAAGACUUUUGGUCGUUGAAAAGUGGUUCCAUGAAAACCUACUUCUAGGUUACUUACCUUAUUUAGUUUGUGUUUCUGAGAUCAAACUUUCUCGAAGAUCCACUGCUACCCCUCCUUUAUCUCUUCCUUUCUCCAAUGAAAAAUUCCACUUUCAUGUUCGUCUUAGACAUGGUGUGUCUUCUUUCAGUCCUUUUCUGGCUUCUGCUGUGGUAAGUGGUAACUCAUAAUUCUUCGGUGCUUAGUGAAGAAGCGUUUUUAGGGAAUUGGGGUUUUUGGGAAGGAUUCUUUGAAUGUUAGCGGAAAUGAAUACGAGUCUGAGGUUGUGGGUGAUGAGUUAGGAGCUGAGAAUGAGGAUGAACUUUCUGUUUCUCCGGCGUCUUCUCUGGUUGUCAAUCGUCAAUCGGAGUAAAAACCCUCGCAUUCCAACACAUAAUCUCACCAUUUUUACUUUUCUUUGAAAAACUAGAUCUCAACACAAAAACGAUUCAAGUUGAGGUGUAAAAGAACCAGAUCUGUAAGAAGACCUAGUUCUGGAACUAAUGACAAAAGAGGUACAAAUGACAUGGCGG